CUCCCAGCUGGUCAAUGUCCAUAGGACAAGUGGCUGUGAGUGCUCAGCCCAAAUAGGACAUCUAUGUCACCUGCUCCAAGGCUGAAGGAACAUUCAGAAGAGAGGGUGGGGAAAAAACGGAAGACCUGGAGGGUGGGGAGGGCUGUGAAAUGUCUGCCCUCACGAACUCCCUCCGAGCAAGAGCUGCUCAAGAUAAACCAAGAGGGAAUGCUGAGCAUAGGCCUUCCACAGACCAUGCUGGAGGAUGGAGAGAUGGCUCAGCAGCUAAGAGCCCUUGGUCCUUCUUGAGAAAACCAGUCUUCAGUUCCCAGCACCCAUACGGUGGCUCGCAACUCAGUUCCAGCUCUGAUGCCUUCUUCUGGACUCUGUGAGCACUGCGCACACAUGGUACCAGACAUAUGCAAUCAAAACACCCACAUAUGUAAAAAUAAAAUUAAAAAUAUUUCUCAUGUUUCU